rnacentral:rRNA from 1 species
UUUGAUCCCUGCUCAGAUUGAACGCUGGCGGCAGGCCUAACACAUGCAAGUCGAGCGGUUGACGGGAGCUUGCUCCCUGAUUCAGCGGCGGACGGGUGAGUAAUGCCUAGGAAUCUGCCUAUUAGUGGGGGACAACGUUUCGAAAGGAACGCUAAUACCGCAUACGUCCUACGGGAGAAAGCAGGGGACCUUCGGGCCUUGCGCUAAUAGAUGAGCCUAGGUCGGAUUAGCUUGUUGGUGAGGUAAUGGCUCACCAAGGCGACGAUCCGUAACUGGUCUGAGAGGAUGAUCAGUCACACUGGAACUGAGACACGGUCCAGACUCCUACGGGAGGCAGCAGUGGGGAAUAUUGGACAAUGGGCGAAAGCCUGAUCCAGCCAUGCCGCGUGUGUGAAGAAGGUCUUCGGAUUGUAAAGCACUUUAAGUUGGGAGGAAGGGUUGUAGAUUAAUACUCUGCAAUUUUGACGUUACCGACAGAAUAAGCACCGGCUAACUCUGUGCCAGCAGCCGCGGUAAUACAGAGGGUGCAAGCGUUAAUCGGAAUUACUGGGCGUAAAGCGCGCGUAGGUGGUUUGUUAAGUUGGAUGUGAAAGCCCCGGGCUCAACCUGGGAACUGCAUCCAAAACUGGCAAGCUAGAGUACGGUAGAGGGUGGUGGAAUUUCCUGUGUAGCGGUGAAAUGCGUAGAUAUAGGAAGGAACACCAGUGGCGAAGGCGACCACCUGGACUGAUACUGACACUGAGGUGCGAAAGCGUGGGGAGCAAACAGGAUUAGAUACCCUGGUAGUCCACGCCGUAAACGAUGUCAACUAGCCGUUGGAAUCCUUGAGAUUUUAGUGC